UACGAAGGGUGCAAGCGUUACUCGGAAUUACUGGGCGUAAAGGGUGCGUAGGUGGUUGUUUAAGUCUGCUGUGAAAGCCCCGGGCUCAACCUGGGAAUGGCAGUGGAUACUGGAUAGCUAGAGUGCGGUAGAGGGUAGUGGAAUUCCCGGUGUAGCAGUGAAAUGCGUAGAGAUCGGGAGGAACACCAGUGGCGAAGGCGGCGACCUGGACAGAUACUGACACUAAACUACGAAAGCGUGGGGAGCAAACAGG
rnacentral:rRNA from 1 species